UCACAGGUCUUCUCCACUGAGCAGUAUUGAAAUGUAGGAAAGGAUGCAGAUCAACUGAGACUACAGACUUGACAUUGGUUACAUUGCUUCCCCAAAGAUUUGUCAAUGAAUAUGGCGCAAUGGGAAGACACAAGGAACAAAGAAACCUUUGCAGAGGACAAGGUGGAAGCCAUAGAUGCUGAUAUCAGUUGCACAUGUACCACUGACCAUCCUCUGGAGUGAUGGUUCACAAUUUGUCCUACAGAUUCCAUGCUCACAUCCCCAAAGAGCACCCUGACUAUGAAAGGAAUAGGAGAAGUUCAGAAAAUAAUUUUGAAAAUAUGCUUGAAAAGUCAUAAAAGUUCAUGCAUUUCCAUAGAACUUAAUGCAUUGUGUACAGUCAUCCUUAAUAAAUGUAUUGCUAAUUAAA